rnacentral:lncRNA from 1 species
CCUAUCCCAAUUAAGAACCUUGUCCUCAAGGUUCAAGUCAUGAAAUCUAUCCAUAACUUUCUCAAUUAUCUGAAGAGUAGCAAUUUCCACUUGCUGCAAUGUCUCAAGUGUACAGUUCCAACAAUACAAGCCAAAGAAAAUGAUCUGAUGCAAAGUGCAACUCUAUGCUGUCUUCCAAGAGUAGUAAGGAAAUUGGCAUUACUCUGUAAUAACUUGUCCAACUUUAACACAUCUAAA